rnacentral:ncRNA from 2 species
AAAGCACAAGGUGAUGGCGUUCCACCUUACCCAACCGCUCCAUUCAGGGGGCUGAUGACGCCUGGCGUAAC